UGCGACUUUCCAGGGGGAAACAAGACGCAUCCCGGAUGGAAGCGAGAAGACUGACACAACAGCAGACUGACUGUUUUUCAGUUCUGAUUAGACACUAGUGUUGAGAUGACUGUCUGUCAUGAUAGCAUGUACUGAGUCGGGGCCAGUACCAGAUAAACACAUUAAACUAUAAUCCAUAAACGUAAGGUAACAACAGAGACCUAAUGGUGCUGUGACAGCAACGCUGUGAUUGAGUUUGAGACAGUGAAAAUACAUAUGGUAUGUUGUAUCUGAACAGGUUAGCUUACGCGCUAAAGUUACUUAGCACAGAUGAAAGUUAAAACAAAGACGUUAGCAAACUGUUAAAGCACACAAACCAUCGUCAUAUGAGAAAUCCGACACUAUGACUCUCCACAAGUUGUCCUUCAGGUCGUUAUCCUUGUAAUAUUUGUGUCUUUUAUCAAAAAAAACUCUCCGACACAUAAACAAUCAGCCGGUCGGCCAUGUUGGAUAUACCAGUGAAUCAGACAUCGCAACAACACGCAAUCUGAUUAGUCAGAAGCGGACACACGGUAUGCAAAACUCAAGAAAAUUAGACCGUAAUGCGAAAAAAUAAAUGCCGCAGUAUCGCAGGACGGUAAAACGUCGCUGUUGUGGACGCUUGUGUUGACAGGAUAAAGGUUUGAAAAAAAUAAUUGACGUCCGAAAUAAUCGCAUGAAAAAAACACUCCCGGUAUGUAAGGACCUUGAGGGUGUAGGUGUUAGAUAUGCAGCUUAAGAACCAGUUCCAUUUUUACAAUUCUGGUGUGAAAUAUAUAUUUAUCAAAUGAUUGUUUUAGCCAUCAAGAGUUAGCAAGAUGAGAUAGUUUUAGGUAGAUUGUAGACUGUGGAUUGUUUUGUCCACAGGAGGCGCCACAAUUGACACAAACUUAAAACUACUUAAAAGCUUUAAAGAUUCUGGGCUAAGAGUGUAACUGGAGCAUAGUCUUAAAUCUUACGCUAAUGCCCACAACUGUGAAGAAAAAAAUUACUCACUUCAUACCCGUGAUGUGGUUGGGUGCAAAGGUGCCAUGUUGCUAUCUUAAGGUGCACUACUUUCUGGCCGUUCAUAGGCCAUGUUUGUGAGGUAGUUCGAUGGCCUUGGAAGGUGAAUAACCAAUGAAAACCAAGUCAUGUAUCUUGGUAUUUAAGUCCAAGACAGUAUCAUAUAUCAUAUUGUAUCAUGUCAUAUAUUAUCCUUCCCUAUUGUAUCAUAACGUAGUGUGAUAUAAGGUAUCACACCUCUGUUUUGUUGAGUAGUUUUCACAUGACUUUAACCCACAUCAAUUCAAGACAUCUUUACAUAAAUGGACAAUCAAUUGGUGAGAGACAGGAGCACAACAGCACAGUUAUGUUGGUUCUGGCCUCUGAUGCGUUUUUAACUGCACCUUUCAGAGACUUGCUCACAGGCCAAAGCCACAGUGUUGGGAGUCAAACCUUGAUGCGAAUCAAAUUGCAUCCCCGUCUACAGAAACAUAAAAAUGAGCAACUUAACCGCUAAUUCUUUUUUGAUGUGCAGUCAAUUCACAGGGAGGAAACUCUGCAGUUUAAGGUAAUUAUUGUAACUCAUUAUAACCAGCGGCAUCAAGUGUCGGUCUUAUAGGUCAAGUGGGUACAAUCUGGCGCCUGAGUGUUCGUGGAAGUUAAUAACUACAUUUGCAACAGCAGCGUGGGGAGGUCUUGGGUGCACAAGUGGAAGCGGUUUUCAUUGGCAGCUCAAAUUGAUCCCCUUCAUUUGAAACUCUGACUGAAGUCUCCCAGUUUCCUCUUAAAAUUUACGUUUGCAAUGGUACAAAUACAAAUUUGAUUACUCUCGAGACUGCUGCCGCUCAUUCGAAGCGCCGACGAGGCAAUGGUAGAAAUGAAAGCCGCUUUGAUUGUCAGUCAGGGAGAUUCCUCAAUUAAGACACGCAACAGGUGGGAAAACCAAAAUUGAUGUGACACACUUUCAUUGUUGCUUCCCCAGCUUGGCUGUCAGUUUGUAUCGCUGUCAGGUGUGGGUGACAGCCCACCAACUAAUCUGAAGAGUCAUUCAGACGGCAGUCAUUGGAGCUGGAUGUCUUCAUUGGUGUAGUUUUUGCGAGUGCUUCCUUUGAGUUACUAUCGUGGUUACUAAUGAGGGACCAAUGGUACCGGCCUCCCUGUAAUCAGUGCUCAUUGGACCAGGUUGAACCCAGCAGUUCAAAUGUUGUGCAGUUCGUUUGCUUGCAUGGUUGGUUAGAUGUGUAAUUGUAUUGAAAGUGGUGUCUAGUCAAAAGGGACGGUCAAAAAUCACGUUGUUUUAGCUCUGCGUGACACAGAGAUAGCAAGCAGAGGUCAAUAAACAAGGUUUUGAGAAAUCAUUGAUGAAUGAGCCAAUGAGGAUUCGCUUUGGUGUUUUUAGUUGUUUUAGCAGAUUUGUGUUUAAGCAGAUCACGAAACCAUCAUAUAAAUUAGAGUUAUUGUAUUCCACACUAAUGAGGCUUUUUCAAUCUCAUAAGAUACAAUCCUUGUCUGUGAUUACAGUCGAACAUAAAUGGUGAAAGAACUGUUCUGGCCAGGAUUGCACUCCCUGUGGCCCUGUUAUGGUGGACUUCUACCCGGUCCGUGUUCAGCCUUGAUCCUGUGCAGCUUCAUACCUCUUAAUUCAUCAACACCCACUUCGUUUUCAGAGUGCAGCGCGGCAGAGCACCAUCAGACAGCUGGGGUCACAAGACCAAGGAUUUCCUGCUUUACAUUCAGAAUCGGUGGUUUUCUAUCUCCAUGAUGAGCUCUGGAAACCUCUGACCCGUUGACUCCACGCCUGGCCCUGCUCAUUAGGAUGGUUUGUCGGUGUAGUUAAGCGAAACAUGAUCUGGCCUCUACACAGUGCGUUUAUUGUUUGUUUUUUACAGAGAAAAAAAAAAAAAUUCAAACAGUCUGUCAGUGUCUGACUUCUUCUAACUCUUGAUCUGCCCUUUGUUGAUUGAUGCAUCUUGGCAAAACCCGUCUGUAUCUACAGUGCAAAGAUUAGGAUUGCUGAUGCUGGAGUGAAGUGAAACACAAUGCAGCACAGCCACACAUUGAUAAAAAUGUCUAUGAUUUUAAAUAAAAUUAAAUUUUAUAUGAAAACUUCAAGAUGAUUUCUUUCAAUUCCUGCUGAUAUAACUCAUUAUCCAGCCUCUCUCAAGGUCCCUCCUUAGACCAGUGUAGCUCAGCCAACAUUUUCCACUUAAAUGCCCAGACAAAGCAGAUGCAAUAGACCGAGUCUGUAUGGCCUAUAAAAGCCUUUAUUUUCAUUUAGCCUCCACAAAUUACCUAUAAUUUUCUCCAGCAAAGUGGCGUGAAUUUGAAACCGGUUCGAUUCUGUUAGAUAUUUGGAAAUAAACUAUGAAAGCCUACAGAAAAGUAUAAGUAGAUUGCAAAGGGUUCAGUUUCAUCAAGUCCACAAAUUACCUAUGAAAGGCUCCAGAUUUCAUUUAAAGUCUGAAAAGACGUGUGGUGUUUUUUUAAAGGAUUUAGGUUUAUGAAGUAGCCACAAAAUACCUAAAAACCUCCUGAUUAAUUCUGUGAAUUCGUCAAAGGUGGGUGUUCAUUUGGUAUCCACAAUAAACUAUAAAAUGCACCAGAAAAGCGGUGUGAAACGAUUCAUUACACUUCCCAAAUUUACCAUUUAAGCUUUCAGAGAAGUGGUAGGAGCAGGUUUGGUUUCAUUUAGUGUCCACAAAAUACCCAUUAAAGUCUCAGGGAAAGUGGCGUUAAUUUGAGAAGCUUUUUUGGCACGACUAGAAACCAUGACUUCACAGUGGGAGGCAGCCUUAAAUUCCUUAUUCUGGUAAAUAAAUGGUUUAAUUUUAUUUAAAAGAUGAUGCUGGUCUUCAGUGAGAAUAAUUCAAGUCUGUAAGAAAUUUCCAAUUAGUGUAAAGUCAGUGUGCUGUUGUCGGAAGAGAAUUUAUAGCACUAAAAGUCCUUACACACCAGGCGCGAAUUUGCCAGGCGAAUUAUUCGCCUUUAUUUGCCUUUUUUUAAAACAGCAUAGGGUCAAUGCAAGCUUCCACACCGGCGGCGAUUUUUCCGUGGGGCGAAAAGUGUCUUAUUUUUUCGCUCUUGUGUCGAAUUUUUCGGGGAUUUGCAGGCGAAUAUCUGGACCUGCUAGACCUCUGGCCAAUCAGAAGUCAUGUUGUUGAUGACGUCACAGACCCAUGCGGCUGCAGUUCACACGACACACACCACCACUGGCACCAAGAGCAUCUAUGGGAAAGAGGCUGGUAAUUUAUACGCAUAUUCGCUUCGCGCCCGGUGUGUAUAGGCAAAGCGAUUUUUCGGACCGGCGAAUAUUUUCGCAUCUUCGUCUCGCUUUUUCGCUUUGUUCCGCAAAUUCGCUGGUGUGUAAGGACCUUUAGUCGGUAAGUUUACAUCACACUCGAGAAAACCAAAUCAUUGCCUUUCUCCGAUUAAGACCGGACAACUGAAGUGCAUGUAAACACCUUAGUUCGACUUUGAUCAGAGUUUGAGAACUUCAAAUGGGGUCGGUGAACUCCGAUUAAGACACCCAGAUUACGCGAUUGGAAUUCGAUUUUCUCUACCAUGUAACCAGCAUAGUCGGAGUAUGAUUGGACAAUGCGCAUGCACGUGCACCACGCCCCUAUAACCCCAGAACAAAAACACCAGAGAAGAGGAGUAGUGUGCACCUCAUCUGCAGAAAAAGUAGCGCAUACGUUAUGUUACGACAAAAACAACGCUGUAUGAUGCUUCAUCUUCUUGCUCAAAAAUGCCCAGCAGCAGUUGUAGACACUUUGACGUCUGGCACAGACCUGCUGUUGUUGUUGAAAGGUAUAUGGGGUCAACCAGAAACAGCACCACUGAAAAGACCCACAUCGCUCCCUAGUUUUCAGGAGAAGGACACGUUCACGUCAAUAAUUCGAUUUUCUCAGCAGCAUGUACACACGGACAAGGAGAGAAGUCAGAUUCGGCGAAAAAAAACAACAAAUUUUUAGCUUUGUCCGAUUAAGCUGUGCAUGUAAACACCCUGACUGACAUCUAGGGUAUCCUGGUUAAUGCGCAAGCAUUCGCACUUCUCAGGAGCUCCAGCUUGGUUGACAGAUUACAGCCAUUAUGUUCAUCUGGAUACCACGACUCUUGAUGAAUUCACUUUAAAAAGUUUUUUAAACUCUAAUGACAUUGAUUUUCUGCCGGAGCUGCCCAUAUUGACAGUUAAUACAUCACAGAACUGUGUUCAGCCAGUCAAAAGAAAAAAAGAAAAAAAAAACUUCAGAGCACUUCGCCAAUCCUGGAAACAAGCCAGUGUUCCCCAGCUGUGUCGAGACCUCUACUAAGUGCAGGGAGAGAAAAAAAAAAAAGACUGCAGAAGAGAAAAGAGAAAGAGGGUACAAGGAGGAUCGGAGGUGAAGUGUAAAAUCAUUAUAAUUAUGCUUUGAUAUUAAAUUACCAUGUAUAAUUGAAAUAGAGUUAGCGCCACAAUCUUCUCCCCUAAUAGCAGCUAUACUGCACGGUUCUGUUCCAUAACUUGCAAGUUAUUACCUGUCCUGCAUGGAAUUAGAAGUCACACUAUCAUUAUAAAACCCAUUUACCCAUCACUUUCUAUAUUAGAUCCAGGCUGCACACACACACACACUAUGGUUUUAAUUACAACCCAGUGCUUAAUUCUUCCUCUGUGUACUCUUAUGGGUAGCCAAUAAUUUCGUUAGAGAAGGAUAUAACUUACAGUGAUGCCGCUUGGACAUGCCUGAAAACGACUCAACUUUAUUAAUUGCUUAUAAUUGACACAAACAAUAACGCUGCAUUAUAACAAUGGAGGACGGUAAGGCAGAUAAUAAGAUUCCAGAUCUGAGAGUGUUAUUAAGUGAUGUGCUAAAACACAUUACUUAAUUAAACUUGCACUGCACUCUGGGAAGUUUUUCUAUUCCCUCAAGUUGUUUCAUGUGCUCAGCUGCAACUCAGUGCAAGCUUGGUGUUGUUGAUGAACAGCAGCCGCAACGGAGGAAAAGUCUAUCUCUAGGUUAGAGGCAUGACUCCGCAUAAAAAUGGCAUCCUAGAGAGGGAAAUAGUGUUCCUUGGGAAAGAAUUGCACUGACUCUGUAGUGCGAAUCAUCAAAUGAGAUCACAAAUAAUUAUGAGGUUUGUUGUCAGUGAACUCAGUAUGUUGCUUAAACUAAAGGUCCUAACACACCGGGAACGACACGAAAUUACGAAAUAUUCGGAGGCGAAUUUUGAAGCACAUUAAACUAUAAUACAUAAAUGUAAGGUAACAACCGAGACCUAAUGGUGCUGUGACAGCAACGUGAUUGAGUUUGAGACAGUGAAAAAUACAUAUGGUAUGUUGUAUCUGAACAGGUUAGCUUACGAGCUAAAGUUACUUAGCACAGAUGAAAGUUAAAACAAAGACGUUUAGCAAACUGUUAAAGCACACAAACCAUCGUCAUAUGAGAAAUCCGACGCUAUGACUCUCCACAAGUUGUCCUUCAGGUCGUUAUCUUUGUAAUAUUUGUUGGAUAUACCGUGAAUCUGAUGUCGCAACAACACGAAAUCUGAUUGGUCAGAAGUGGACUCAUAGUAUGCACAACUUUAGAAAAUUGAUACGAAAAAAGAAAAAGCCGCAAUAUCGAAGGACGGGAAACAUCGCUGAUGAGACCGUUUAUUGUGUAUUGACAGGAUACGGGUUCGAAAAAAAAUAUUGACAUCCAAAAUAAUCGCACGAAAAAAGGACCUUAAGAAUGCAGGUUAAAAGUAAAGCAUGCAUAGAUAAAACCACAACGACAUGAUCAUCACUUAACCCCGCCCCUUGCGUCUGAUUGGCCCAAUUCAUCCUUACCCCUCUUGUAAAGCUCCCCUGAAGUUUUUCUGAGCUGCUUCGCCUUAUUUUCUGACCUUGUCUUUGUCUCCUCUCCGACUUAAUUUUCUUUCUUGUUCCUCACUUUUGUACCGAAUCUAUUUGUGGCGAGUGAAAAACGAUUUGUUUGACAAAACCAUGACUGCUCCUGCUGUACUCAGAGCUUUGCUUUCUGUACCACACGGUGCAAACACAAGGUUAUACACAGCUGGGUAAAAGUCACUUCUUUUGACAGAUUUGCUCUUAUUGCUGUUAUAAAUGUUCAAUCCCAGUCCCCCUAUUUUGAGAUAAACUGCUGCCAUGAAAACUGGGAUUAUCAUAAACAUCAUAAUUACACACACUUUAAUUAUAACAUCCAUACAGUGCUGCGCACUUGUCCAGAGUCAUUUAUAGAAGCUGCCUGACCAGCUGCAAACUACAUUAUAGGCUCUGUGGUGCACUUUACAGUCAUAAGCACAAAUUUAACAGCGUGCAAGCAUUUUCCUUUUUGGGUGAAAAUAUUCCCUCCAGAUUGUCUGUAAUUUAAAGCCACUGUCCGGCUCCAUAAAUUCAGGCAAUUUAUUAUCCAAGAUUUUUAAGAGUAAAGGAGAACUUGUUAAUGCAAGCACUCUGUUCUCACACAGUCAUCAUUAUCAUUUAAACAUAUAACUCUAUUCAUCACAAAGAAAUACUUAAAAACUGUGUGUUAACCUGAAGGGUGUCACUGAAGACAAUCCAAAAGUACUAUUUGGUACUGGUGGCUCCUCUAGGACCUGAGUCCAUUUUAAAUGUACUUGGAUAAAGUGGAAAACUCUUUGAAAGAGUGGAGAGAUACACAGUUCAUAAUCCAGUAUUCAAUAUUGUUCUAGGGAUCAAAAAGUCUCAAUGGCAUGGAUGGUGCAAAUGUUCCCAUCGAGACAGAGCCUGUAUUUGUUUGGAAAUCCAGGAGACCUGCUUCUUUUUAGUUAAGACAGUGAGAUGUGGUUCCAUUUUUGCCCGGUAAAGGGUUCAUGCUCACCACUUAGGGGUCUCUUAUCUUGUAUUUUUCAUCUUGUCAUGCACUAAGAGUUUUGCGAUUAGAUUAGAUUAGAUUAGAUUAUUCAACUUUAUUGUCAUUAACCACAGUACAAGUACAUGAACAACGAAAUGCAGUUUAUUAUCUAAUAAGAAGUGCAAGGAAGUAAAGUGCAAGGUAUGUACAUAUGUGCAGUGCAGGUAUGACAUAUGUGUAUAUAUAUAUAUAUAUAUAUAUAUAUAUGUAUACACAUAUAUGAUUGAGAAGCACUGUGGUUCUAUGUGAGGAAAAGGCAUUGCCACUGCAUUUGGUGGACACAGGCCCUAAAGCUUAGAUUAAAAUGUUAUGUAAGAACAAAACAACAUGCCACUUGAAAAUUGGAUUUUAUUUAUUUAUUUGUCAUAUUUCAAAGCUAUGGUUCUGCCUGAUUCUUUCUUGGGAAAAGAUGCAUUUCUUGCAUGUGUUCUGAUACUUAUGACAAUGUGAUGCUGAAACGACAAAUGAUUAAGUAUCUCCUUGUUAGUGAAACCUAGCUACAGAAGUUCAAUUCAUCUAAACGCUCCACAGCGCUCAUUUAAACAACUAACAACAGGUUGGAAUAGCUACUAGCUACGACUUUAUUCUCGUAAUAAAAUCAUUACGAGAAUAAAGUCGUAGCUAGUAGCUAUUCCAACCUGUUGUUAGAACUUUAUUCUUGUAAAUAAUGAUUCAUUACAACUUAAUUUUCGUAAGAAAUGAUUUUAUUACGACUUUAUUCUCGUAAUUAUUUUAUUAUGACUUUAUUCUCGUAAGUAAUGGUUUUAUUUCAACUAUUUUCGUAAGAAAUGAUUUUAUUACGACUUUAUUCUUGUAAGUUAUUAUUUUAUUACAACUUUAUUCUAGUAAUUAAUGAUUUUAUUAUGACUUUAUUUCCAUAAAAAUUGAUUUUAUUACAACUUUAUUCUCGUAAAUAAUUAUUUAUUACGACUUUAUUUCCAUAAGAACUGAGUUUAUUACGACUUUAUUCUUGUAAUUAUUUUGUUAUGACUUUAUUCUCGUAAGUAAUUCUGAGGUCUAAAAUUUUCUCUUUUCUUAAUGUGGCUCUAAUGCUCCGUUGUACAAAGCCAAGACAAUAUUUUACAAAUAAAAAGUCUUUUUUUUUUUUUUUUUUAAUCCUAUAGGACUUUUUAUAGCUUGACUUUUAAAGACUUAAAUCAUGAUUAUAUAUGUACCAUCCUCUUAAGGAUGGUAUUCAGUAGUUACACAGUACACUCUGAAUUUGCUAUAGUUAAUUAAUUUUCAAAAAAAAAUAUACAUAUAUGUUGAGUUAUCAGAAUAAACACUGAUUUGCUUCCAGGCUAUCAGUGCAUUGGUACAUGUAUCAUUUACAGGACCAUCAGUGUCACUGACUGAAAUGCAAUAAGACUAUAAAUAGACGGCAAACUGUAUGUACCGUGGUUGACAUGAGCAGACAUCCCUAGUUACUAUGAGUGACAUGCAGGCUGAUUGUUGGGAAUACAGUCACAUGUUCAUGUACUCUACUGGGUGGACUUGAUUCAUUCUUAAAAUAUCCUCUCCAUGGCAUGAAGCUCUUCGAGGUGAACAUUUUUCCACACACAGUUUGAAUCACUGUGACCAUGAUUUAGAUUGAGUGUUGAAGUAGCUCUAUAGGUGAAGAAUAUGCUGUUUUCAUUUCUUACUUUGUACUGUGUGGACUUUGUAUGAAGAACUUUAAAUAACUUCCUGUUUCAUUGGCGGAAAGCACAGUCUGACAAUCUACCAUAUACUCAGUGUGAGCAAUAACACUUUAUGAGAUCUGAAGGCUCUUCUUGUGGCAUGUGUUUAACAUAUAAAAAGACAUAUCACAGAGAUGCACAUAGGAUUUCAUCAUGGUGGUAUGAGGGUUUUUUUUAUAGGUCUAUGCCUAGAGAUUAUCAUGCAUGUAGGUGAAAUAUUGAGGAUAUCUCACCAGACCUGAUGCAUGUGUGAAUUUCGUUGAGUUUGGAGGCAUGUUAAGGACCUGAAUUUGGGAUGAUAAUUCCUUGCAUUCCUAUAGGGUCUCUUUUUUUUUUGCUUUACAUUUGCUCAAAUUGCCUCAAUUGAUAUUGAGUUACUGUGUUAAGAUUCCUUUCCUCUGCUUCAGGCGGUGACACUGAUGCCGUGCACUGUGAGUUAAUAACUAUAUAUGAUCCCAUGUUAUUGAAUUGAUUUCUGUUGGACAGCAUAAAUAAUAAAGAUGAAAUCAAUAUUUGACACUCUAUAUAUCCCAUAUAUACAUUGCGUAUCCAUUAUUUCCCAGGGUCCCACCAGAGGGAUCACGAACUUCAGUCAAGCGCAGCCUCACUUGACAGACGAGUUCGUAAGCUGGGGUGUCAAUCAUGCCUCCAGGUGAUGCCUUUUGCAGGAAAAAUAACAAAUUAGCAUCUGUCAGAGGUUGUCAAGCAGAGGGCCACGACAUUAGGUCAAACAGCUGCCGGGGAUUUGAUUAAAGCUGCUGCCAAGUUGACACGGAAUAAAAACUCUGAAAAUAGACUGCUCCUUAAUUAGAAAUGCAUUAGCAGCAGAUCACUUCUAACCAGAAUGGUGACAAAACAAUUUGUACACCACUGAUGGAAUUAUUAUUUUUUUAUUCCGUUUCAGCUACAGUAUUUAUUACAAUUGCUUGAAAUCUGAAUAACAAAAGCAGAACUCUCUCAUUCUCUCUCAGCUUUCAAAGUGCACAUAAUUACCGGUUUUGCAAUGCGACUUGCAGAGACGUCCUUGUGCUGCUUGGAAUAAUAACCGAGACCAAUUUCAGGGAUAAAGUUUCUCAGAGAAUGUGGAGCAUUCUUUAUAAAGAUAGAGACGAUAACAGCCUGAUUUAUGAGCCGGUAUGAUCCCAUAAGUGAAACUUAGAAGUCACACACAACAGAGAAGACUCCAGAAGUGACAGACAGGUAUAGUAGUUGCAUGCAAGAGCACAUCCUUGUCACCAUCCCCUCAUAUUUUCUAUCAAAUCCAUAUUUACCCCUUCAGAUGGGGAGCAGACGCCAUGACUUAUCAGGGUCCUGGCUGAAGGCGAUGUUUAUGGUGAAUGAUGUCAGGGGCCCAUGCUUGGCUGGUCACUCCGAGCGCCUCCUCUUUUCGGUUCUUCUCUGUGUCUGUGAUCUGGGGUCAUUAUUGGAACUGUCAGCGUGCAAUUUCAAACAGAAAAAUUGCAGUUGUUGGCAGACAAGCAAAUGGAGUGUCCUGCCACUAAGUCGAGGGAUCAAUAUGAUUUUUUGUGCAUGCAGCGGCGAGUGUAGUGACUAAAUGAACACUGCUUGAUUUGCAGUGUAUUUAUUUUAUUUUAUGAAGCCUUCAAGUGAUUUGUGGCCCACAGUUAGUCAUAUUCAAUUUUCUGCCGUGCUUGAACUUUCUCAGGUUGUUUCCCAAGACCUUGAACUGCGAUUUCAGCCUGACCAUCUUCCAAACAUUGCAAGGGCAUGCAUCCUUGGACAUAAUUUGACAUUUAAAUUUGUACCACUAGUUCCCAGAGGUGUUUAAAAGUUUAUGUACUUGCCUGCCAAACAAUCUGUGCUUAUGGUAAUGAAAAACAGCUAAUGCCAAGCAUAUAGUAUGGGCUUAGUACACUGAGUGCUGGGAACAUGAUGGUGUUUUAAAAAAUGUAUAAAAAUAGGCACAACUGGUGCCAAAAUUGCCCUGAGUGGACACAGGCCUUCAAAAUUGCUGUACUUGGACACAGGCCCUGAAAACUGCCCUCAGUGUACGCAGGCCCUAAAAGUUGCCCUUAGUUCACACAGGCCCUUAAUGUUGCCAUCUGUGGACAUGGGCCCUUAAAGUUGCUGUCAGUGUACACAGGCCCAAAAAAUUUCCGUCAGUGCACACAGACCCUAAAAGUUGCCCUCGGUGUACACAGGCCCUUAUAGUUGCCAUCAGAAGACAUAGGCCCUAAAUGUUGCCAUCAGUGGACACAGGCCCAAAAAGAUGCCCUUAGUGCACACAGGCCCUAAAAGUUGCCAUCAGAGGACACAGGCCCUAAAAGUUGCCCUCAAUGCACACAGGUCCUAAAAGUUUCUAUCAGUGCACAUAGGCCCUAAAAAAAGUUGCCCUCAGAGGACACAGGCCCUUAAAGUUGCCAUCAGUAGACACAGGCCCUAAAAGUUGCCCCAAGUGCACACAGGCCCUAAAAGUUUCCCCCAGUGCAAACAGGCACUAGCAUUGCCUUCAGUGCACACAGGCCCUAAAAGUUGCCAUCAGUGGACUCAGGCUCUAAUGAGAAUCAUACGGGUACAGUGGCAUUGAGCUAGUGGUGCUGUUUGCAAUCAACAAAGGUAAUUGUUUCCAUGACUAUCAAUACAGAGGAAAAUUUAAAAAAGUUUCUGUGUAGCUUCGAAAUGAGAGAAGUUCUUACCUUAACUCUAUGGAAAUUAACCAGUGGGAUGAAAGAGUUGGUGCAGUGAUACAAAAACCACAAAUGAUUGGACAGGAUAUGGGAAAAUAAAAUAUGAAAGAUGCACAAAUGAAAAUUAACCACCUCACUGAGCCGCUGUUUUAAAACGAAGCUCUCAAAGAACACUGACUAAGACUCCCAAACGAAAACACAAUGGCAGCCGGGGAUGUCUUAAAAGAGAUACACAAAAGCCUGGGGCAGAAGAGGUCCAGCACUAACUGACUGUACCCGGAGAGAAACGUGUAAUGGUGAGGAAAUCAUGCAGACAGGUUCCCCAAAUACCAAUUAAGAGCAAAGACAGAAUGAACUACUCAUUAGUGAUGUGUCGGUCAUGAACGAACAGAUCAAAAGAACUAGUUCUUUUUGGUGAACGAAAUGAACGAGGUCACCCCCCCUAAAUGAUCCGUUCAGUCCGUUCAGUUCUUUUGAUUGGCUGAAGAGUCAGUUCACCGUUCCUUAGGGUGGGACUAUCUCCGUGCUUGCCUGUCUUAUCCUAUCAUCGUGCCUCGCUCUGUGGGUGGGUGGGGCUUAGAGAAGCAGCAGCAGUACUGAGCUGACUGUAAUGUGCUGUAAUGUGCUAGCCUAGCUAUAUAGCUUGGUUUAGCUGGGUCAACAUGCCGGUUUUUCGGUGUAAAAAUUGACCCCGUUACCUGGAAACUUGCGCAUGAGAUUGUCCCAAGUCGCACAGCUGUUGAAUACAUAUUCUUAGAUCUCUCUGUGUUUUGAAUGUCAGCAAAGACGUAUCUGUUGGAAAUACUUGAUGUUAUUGUCACAAAGGGAGCUAAGAGGCUCUCGUUCGUUCAGAGUCUGAACAGAUCUCCCCCUGCAUAAACCCGGUCAGCCGUGUCGAGUCAGUCCGUUCGCUCACAUUCGUUCAGACGCUGAACGAACGUGAACAUGAGCGAACGGACUGACUAACGACCAAUUGACCGAAAUGACUGAAAUUAACGAAUCUUUUUACUGAACGAACCGGAAUGGUCCGGUUCACUGAAAUGAAUGGUUUUGCCCACCACUACUACUCAUACAGCAGUUACCAGGAAACGUAAUGUGAUUCAAAUUAGACUCAUUCAAGGUAAUCUUAUGCUCUGUCAGAGAAAGACUUCAUUUAAAAUUACACUUUUGAUUCAUUUCAUACAUAUAAUAACACGAAUAUUGAAGCCUUCCAGUGAGUGGUGCCAUAUUGUGCUGUAGCAAGCAGCAGCUGUGACGAGAGUGAAUGUGAUCAAUACCAGCAUCCAAAGAGAUUUAAAGGAUAGUUACAUCAAGGUCUUCUUUUUGUUGUAGUUUAUACUGCAGUGUUCAGAUGCUGAGGAGGAACAUAUCACACUGAGGCAUGACCUUUAAAGGUUUGGUAAAGCACUUUAAAGCACUCAUUUUCAAAGGACUCUUUGGUGAAAGACAGGAAAAAGGUAGCAUUAAUGUUUUCUAAAACUUAUCCAAAAAAGAAACUCAGACAUUUCUAGCAAGGAUAACCAGAUCCAGUUAUUAAAAGAUAGGACCUAAAAACCAUCAUUGAUGUUGCUGAUUGGCUUGUUUGGAUUCGGAUCAUCUUAAACGACAUAAAUGUGACUUUUAAUUAGGGCCCCACCGAUUUAUCGGUGAGCUGAAUAAAUCAGCCAAUUUUAGCCCAAUUGAGACUAAUCAGUAAUCAGCUAAAACUCGAUGAUUUUCACCGAUAUUUUCAGAAAUAAAAUGUGGAAAAUAAGAUUUGGUUGCACUUCGAAAAUGUUCCGCCAUUUGAACAGUUGCCCGACUUAUCCUGUAGAUGGCGCAGCGACCUCAUGACAAUCUUCAUCCACUAACUACCUCACAGCACAGCAGAGUGACGGAUCUGAAGCAGGCAGCUCAGGGACGCACGGAGGAGAGUGGUCCACCUCAACGGUAAAUAAACUAGCUUGUGAAAUACACAAUAAGUCAACAAGUUUCAGUUCAACUCACUUCACGAUGUUCCCCGCUGUGCUGGUCUUGGUCACGCCGAGUUAACGGUGAAGCACCAUGUAAUAUGCAAGCUAACGUUAGAGUUAGCCACCUGCUAUUAGCCUUGCUACACUGUUAGCCGCGCUAGUAACGGUAGAAUAAACAACAGUACACAUUACAUGAUUGAGCUACUUCUCUUACUGAGGCAGCUGAAUGUCUCCAGAUGAGACCAGACCGGAAAUGAGUAACGUGAGUUAAGACGCGGAGGCACCGCAUCAGAGGCAUCGGGUAGUUGACGCUUUUCUGGUCCGAGUUUGAUCAGUCGGUCUUCUUGUCGGCGUGAAGAGCAGUAGCCUACAGUAUAUCUACAGUAUAAAGUAAACUGUAGAUAUCUACAGUAUAUAUAUAUAUAUAAUUUUUUUUUUUUUUAAUAACUUCAAAAAAAAUUGAAAAGAUCCGCUGAUUAAUCGGUAAUCCGAAUUUUUUCCCCCUAAUAAUUGGUAUCGGCAUCGGCCCCAAAAAAUCCAUAUCGGUCAGGCCUUUAUCAAUAUGACUUUCAAUCAAAGUUUGGCACUCUUUUUGGGAAACCAUGGACCCCAGACUCGCUUUUUUAACCACACUGAUCGUCAGCAUUUUCGGGGUUACCUCAGUCUACAUUACCACUGGACUUAUGGGAGCUGUUCUCUGUUUGUAAUACAUUGCUAUACGGUCCUGUGGUACUUUUCCUAUCUGCUUCCCUCUGUAAACCACUUAUAAAGAUAAAUAAUGAGGACAAAAUCUAGGAAUCCAGCCAGACUGAUCCUCUAAGAUAAAUUGAAUCAGAUAUUCAGACGCUUUAUCAGAGCCACUAAGGAGAUAACACAAAUCUGCGCAAAGCAGAGCUGCAGAGGAACAAUAAAUAAAGACACGGGGCUUGCUUUCUUAUCAGCCCCUUCACUUUCAGGUUACAUUUCAAGUCUACAAAUGACACAAUGUGCAUGUGGUAUGCUAAUAAAUACGUGCAUUGCUCUGCAGUGAUUCAUAACAGCAGACUUUUUGGACCCUUUGUGGUGAAUUAACAAAAAAGUGCAUUAGCAGGCAUUCAUUAUGCAAAGCAAUGGCUCAGAAAUAAUGUGCAAAAUUACUAGGACUGUGCAAUCCAUUAUUGUCAUUUAUUUCCACACUGGGUGAACAAAAAGGGAGAAGAAUGGGAGAGAUAUAAGAUGGAACAAGCCGGGCCUGUUUUUAGCAGGCACAUGGAAAGACACUCACUCGCACACAUACGCACACCUUUAAGCUGUCUUUCCAUGAAUGUCUUUUAAGCCGCAUGUCACAUCAUGUCACUUUUAUGCAAAAGAAGUGCCUCACUGUUGUGUGAUCUGAUGUGCUGAGUGUGUACGCACACGCACUCGCUGUACGCAAGUGCGCGUACGUGCUCGCCUUCAGUUGAUUCAGCGUUCACAUUUGUUCGCUGUCAUUUAUUAGCAGAACCAGACUGCUGCCUCAACCUCCUGGAGGCAAUGAGAGCUAUUUAAAGAAAUCAGAGCCACACCAAGUCUCUAAAUGAAGACAGGGGCGAAUGAGGGCGAGACGAGGGGAGGAGGGGGGAGAAAAAAAAAGGGGGAACAGAAAGAAGUGUUGAAGGAGCGAAAAUGACAAGGCGGGCGAGGGGGGAGAAAAGGAGAGGAAAUUACAGAAGUCUGGAGAGAACGGGGAGAGAGGAGAUGAGGAAGGGGCGUGAGGGUGAGCCGCAGAGUGCUGUCAAGACAAAAAAGGUGCAAAGGGUCAUGGAAGGGAGAGAUGGAAAUUUGAAAGGAUGGGAGGCGAGCUAGCAGAGUGAGCAAGCAUGGUUUGAAGGAGAGGAGGAAGUAAACAAGUCUUACUUUGAACUUAAGGCAGAGACAUGCGAAGGAGAAUGAUGGAGAGAGGAGAGAGAAUGGAGAGCAGAGGAAUAAAGAAGAAAGAUACAGACAAUGAAUAUUGAUGCACAUGUUUUGUGCACAGAAAUAAAGAUUGGUGGUGAGUGGCUGAUGAGUGGCAGCCAAGAAAGGUAGACAAAAAGGGAAAAACAUGUAGAAACAAGAGAGGAAUGUUAAAAGCAUCAACCAAAUCGAAGAAAACAGACAUGAAGCAACCACAAACCUCAACAUAUGGAUUUGAUUGGAUUACAGGACUGACAUGACUUUAAGUGCUGUUGUUAUAGUCCGUUAUUGUUAAGGAUGCUAACAGGAAAGGACGCCAAUUUUUUUAAUGUAACUGCGACUUUUGUACCAGUUGGAAAAGAAAGAAGAAGAAAGUAUGGCAUACAGUAGUUGGUUGUCUCAGGAAACCAUUGAUGUCAUUGGAUGGCCCAGUGAUUGGCUCAGCCACAAUCCCCUGGCCAAAAACCAUAGCUGUAUGUCUUCCCCAAUCUCUCCUCCCCAUAUUUCAUGUCUUUUCAGCUGUCCUUUCUAAUAAGGUUGAAAAUAUCAGAGAAAAAAUAACUUUAAAAAUGUAGGGGCUCCUUUACAGUACUCGGCUCGUAUUUCACCGACUUCUGGGGUAAUUAAAUCAAAUGGUCUGCUGAAGCCUGAACCCCAAGUGGACUGUCUGGAAGUCAGCAGAAAGUCAACAUGAGACCUCGGGAAGACCUGAUGAAUUGUGGGUUUUGACAGCCCUCAGCACUCACAGACUUAACAGUGAAUGUGUCUCCAGAGUGUCACAGUUUGCCAGAGUUUGAAGUAUGCACAUUCAGUUCAUCCUCAGAGUUACUCAUGAGCAAAGUUUAAACUCCUAGGAAAGAAUCUGGACCACUGACAUUAGCGAAGGGAAUCAUAUACGCAUAUAAAUCUUGGUAAUCUUAAAUCUCGUACUAAAAGGACUUAAUUGUCAAAAUCUUAGUGUUUUUCUAAAUGUGAUCAUGAUGUAAGUUAGAGGAUAUUACUGUAAAUCUAAGAGACCAAAGCAGUUUUACAGCUCAUUUCAAAGUAAAAUAUAUGUAUAUUGAUCUCAUAAAUCUUAAAAAUCUUAAAACUUGUACUUAAAGGGCUUUAUUGACAAAAUCUUUGUUUUUUCUAAUUGUGACCGUGCUGUAAUAAACGAGAUAUUACUGUAAAUCUAAGAGACCAAAGCAGUUUUACAGCUCAUUUCAAAGUAAAAUAUAUGUAUAUUGAUCUCAUAAAUCUUAAAAAUCUUAAAACUUGUACUUAAAAGGCUUUAUUGACAAAAUCUUUGUUUUUUCUAAAUGUGAGUCUGUGAUGAUUUAUACGGUAUAUUACUGUAAAUCUAAGAGACCAAAGCAGUUUUACAGCUCAUUUCAAAGUAAAUUUUAUAUUAAUAAAUCUUAUUAAUCUUAAAUCUUGUACUAAAAUGACUUUAUUGUCAAAAUCUUAAUGUUUUUUCUAAAUGUGACAGUGAAGUAAUUUACGGGAUUUUACUGUAUAUCUAAGAGACCGAAGCAGUGUUACAGCUCAUUUCAAAGCAAAUUUUUUAUAUAUAAAUAUAUAUCUUGUAAAUCUUAUAAAUCUUAAAUAUUGUACUAAAAGGACUUUAUUGUCAAAAUUUGAAUGUGUUUCUAAAAGUAACUGUUAUGUAAUAUACAAGAUAUUACUGUAAAUCUAAGAGACCCAAGCUGUUUUACAGCUCAUUUCAAAGUAAAAUACAUACAUAUAUAUUAAUCAUUUAAAUCUUAUAAAUCCUUAAUCUUGUACUAAAAGGACAUAAUUGUCAAAAUCUUAAGGUUUUUUUUUUUUCCCUAAAUGUGACCAUGAUGAUUUACGGGAUGUUACUGUAAAUCAAAGAGACCAAAGCAGUUUUAACUAAUUUCAAAGUCAAAUAUAUAUAUAAAUAUAUAAAUACAUAUAAAUAUUAAUCUUACAAUUCCUUUAUUUUGUACAAAAAAGACUUUAUUGUCAAAAUCAAUUUUUUUUUAAAAUGUGAGCGUGAUGAUUUAUACGGUAUAUUACUGUAAAUCUAAGAGACCAAAACAGUUUUACAGCUCAUUCCAAAGUAACCACGCAGGUUUGAACAUCUGUACUUAUGAAGAGCUCAUUCACACAAUAACGCCCAAAGGAACAUGGGUGAAGGUACUGAAUCUAAUGAUAGUUCAUUUAACGCUUAAAGGCAUAUUCCGGCAUUUUAUGCUAAAGCACUGAUGUGAUGCUAAUGAAUGUGCUGCAGAUACUAUGGGUGCUAUGGAGAGGAAAAAAGGGGGUAAUUAGUACGGUAAAGGUUUAUUCAGUUUCACGCGUCAAGCACUUUUAGGGGAAAGUGCUUGACACCCCAUAAUAAGUGUAGAGAGUCUCAUUGCAUCAAUUGGUCAUGAGAUAUUUCAGUCUGUUACCAAGCAAUAGACCAAUAUAUUUUACUCUUGCGGUAUGCUACUAGCAUGGGUACAAACAGAAAUGUCAACUUAUGUUCCCUCUGAUUUUUUAUGUGUUUAAUGAAAAAAACUCGCCUCACAGAGGUUCAAAGCGUUCAAGCUUGUUAGAGAUAGUACCUUUGAAGCGUAACCCAAAGCACAAUACAAAAAUUUGGCUUGUUUUUGCUCUGUGGCAACACCCCCCUGUUUGUUUGCUGUUGUCGGAAACUGCUGUUUCACAGCUAAUGCGGCCUUUGUCAGCAACAAACAAAACCCCCAGCAAGAGAAAAAUUGGGUCCUCUUUUUUUUUUUCUGUUUGAACUACAGCAGCAAUUAAGCCAUGUCUGCUUCUUAUUAAAGAGAAUUCAAAUGAUGGUUUGCCUCACUGCCCUCAGAUAUAAUAUGAUUCCUCUGGCUCCAUAUUACCAGCAGGAUGAGAAAUUACCCCCAGUGUCUGCAAUCUAAAGAAAAGUUUGAGGAAAGUAUUAAGUUUUUUGAAUUAUCACGGGAGGGGGGGAUUGAAUUUAAGCUGCAAUUUAAUUUUUUUUUAAACAUUUGAGAUAAUGUAAAUAAUUCCUGUUCAGCCUGUGAUUUCUUCUGCUUUAAUUCAUUGUAAAUUAAUACUGCUACAAGUCAAAAAGAGGAACUAAACUGCUCGAACUCAACUCUUUGGAGAACUGGUGAUUAAAUCUCCUCCUUUUGAUUACUCUGUACUCAAAGUUAAAGGAAAAUACUGAACCUUUGAACUUAGAUACUUUGCCGCUCGAUCCAGUUAUUUGUAUAGAUAUGUACAAUGAAAGCUGAGCAAAAGUUCAGGGCUGGUGCUGAAAUUACAGUUUAUUCAGUGUACUUGCUGUCGUAUUAAGAAUCUUGUUUAAAAAAUCUAUAACUAGACUGCCAUUCAAGCAGUCUUAAAACCAAGACAUGAAGGUUCAAGAAAAAGUGUUUUUGCACAUGUCAGCCUCAGAAAAUAUCAGCCUGUGAGAACAUAGGGGACUCGGCAUGCUCUUAAGUCAUGAAUGGAGGAGAAAUCGCAAAAGAGUAAUUGAGGUAAAGUGAAAGUAUUAAGGUCCUUACACAUCUGGAACGAUGCAAAUAUAUGACGCGAAAUCAUGAAAUCGCAAAUUUUGACGUGCCUGACUGUACACAUCAAGCUCAAUGCGAUUUUUCGACUUUCCGGGGGGAAAAAGACGCAUCCCGGGUGGAAGUGAGAAGACUGACACAACAGCAGACUGACUGUUUUUCAGUUCUAAUUAGACACUAGUGUUGAGAUGUCUGUCUGUCAUGAUAGCAUGGACUGAGUCGGGGCCAGUACCAGAUAAGCACAUUAAACUAUAAUCCAUAAACGUAAGGUAACAACCAAGACCUAAUGGUGCUGUGACAGCAACACGAUUGAGUUUGAGACAGUGAAAAUACAUAUGGUAUGUUGUAUCUGAACAGGUUAGCUUACGAGCUAAAGUUACUUAGCACAGAUGAAAGUUAAAACAAAGACGUUUAGCAAACUGUUAAAGCACACAAACCAUCGUCAUAUGAGAAAUCCAACGCUAUGACUCUCUACAAGUUGUCCUUCAGGUCGUUAUCUUUGUAAUAUUUGUGUCUUUUAUCAAAAAGUACUCUCUUCUCCGACACGUAAACAAUCAGCUUGUCGGCCAUGUUGGAUAUACCGGUUAAUUAGAUGUCGCAACAACACGAAAUCUGAUUGGUCAGAAGUGGACAUAGUAUGUGAAACUUAAGAAAAUUCGACUGUGAUAUGAAAAAAUAAAUGCCGCAAUUUCGCAGGACGGGAAAAUGUCACUGAUGUGAACGCUUGUAUUGACAGGAUACGGGAUCAAAAAAAAGUAUUGACGUCCGAGUCACAUGAAAAAACACUCCCGGUAUGUAAGAAACUUCAGGGUAAUUUAUUUGGGGGAGUAAUUUUCUAACAAUAAUAUAGUCAAACAUUUUAUAAUAAUUUAACAAUAACUUCAUUCUCAUUAAAAAAGAAUAGGUAAAUUGUUUUACUAAACAUAUUUUUGGUAAGAAAAUAGCUGAAGAUAAAAUCAGUAAUUCUGUAUUGUGAGCCAAUACUCUGUUGAAGACACUGACUGUCACAUCAGAGACAAUUAGUCUGCCGUGUGACCCUGUUAUUAAGUUCAUACACCCUAUAAUGAUCAGCGGGGUUACCAGAGGAUGUGGGUAUGCUGCUUGAUAGCUUGAUAUUAACGCUGAUAUUAACAUUUGCAGAACAACAUGCAGAUUUAGGCCUAAAUCCAGGAUCUGUUUUUAAUGUUAAUAUAUUUUUUUAGAAAAGCUUAACCCCCAGAAUCACUCUUGUAUAUGUGUGGCAAACAGCCUGUUCAGUUUAGAACAUUUUACACGUUUAUUGUACAUGUGUAUUAGUUUUAACUUACAGUAGAUCACACACUACCUUUACUUUUCCUAUAAAGAAUCAAUAGUGACGCUUGUCAUUCAAGAACUGAUAGUUUAAGGUUUGAUUUUGGGUAAAACUCACAAAGAAAGAGUAAAAGAGAAAACAAACGGCUUAUGUGAGUUGUUGCUGUCAGGUCGCAAACACGCUCCCAUCUGAAGCCGGCUUUAAUGAGGGGGUGGUGAAAAAGAGGAGGGAAUGGGAGCCUAUGAUGGGCUAUUUUCAGACCAAAUGGACCGUGCACAAGCUUUUGUUGACAUUUAAGGAGGAAAAUUAACCUUAAUUUUCCCAUUACUCCAUCAUCUUUAAAGUGGGAAUCACAGUUACUGAUCCAUGGCCUUGAAAGGACACUAUAUGAUCCAGAUCUGGUGUCAAAUUGAAUUGCAUGUCGAUGGAAACUCAUCCUAAAAAUUACUAAGAUUUCCAAAACACAGGUGUGAUACGAUAUUUACUGUAUAUUCACAAAAAUAUGAAGAGAAUCGCAGUAGCUGCGCACUCUGUGAGAAAAAUAGAUGGGAAAUAACAGUUAAAAGCUACUAAAAUGAAAUAUCUGAUACAAUAAAAGCCUCGCUCAACAGAGAUAUUGUGAAAAUUGCAAUAAAGCGAAUUUAUAAAAGGAGGAGAAUGGUUAUACCGGUGCUGGUUGAUUGUGUAAAAAAAUUGCUAAAGCAGACUCAAUAAGAACUGCUCUUAAAAAAUCAUCGUAUUGGUCAAUAAAGUGAGGAAAGAAAGUGGAAUUGAAAUUGACUGUCUCUCAUACUCAUAAUCAGAACCAGAAUGAUCUACUACAAUUUAUAAGCAACCUGUGAUCCGGUGUUAUCCCAGCCGUAGUUACAGUUCAGGCUGUAGCAGACGACAGUCGAUAUAAUGAAAAGAAAUUAACUUAAUCUGCCUCUAUUGUGUUACCAACAAUCCAAUGCAAGUAUGUCAAAUCAACAGGAGCUGAAGCGGGGAGAGAAGUGGAGCAGGAACACAGGAAGUAACCGGAGAGUUAAGAGAUGGAGCACAAACAAACUCAAACAGGGGAAUAUACAAGUUGAUACUGAGAGUCGAGGAGAUCAAUAUAACAAAAGGUGAGUCAGGGGCUGACUCAGUCGAGAGAAUAUACUGUUGAAUUAAAAAGAAAGUCAGGAAAGAGCUGCAAAAUAGAACAAAAAAAUACAUUGACUGAUAUAUUGACUGAUAUUAAAAGCUUUUUUGUAUAUACACCACAAAAAAAGAUGCUUUAUUAACGGAAUCCUGCCUACCCCACCUUUAACUUUAACUUUUUAUUUGUAUCCAUUGCCAAUCAGUUAUUUAUCUGUGACCUUUAUGAAACCAGUGGUAUUAUUUCGAGGCUUUAACAGAUUACAAUAAUCAAGCAAUCUUGGCAUCAAAUCAACAUAAUCAGCUUUAUUAGAUUAUACAUAACACCAUGUAAUCAUGUUGGACCCAACAGUCAUUUAAAGUACAAAAGGAGAAGCAGAGAAAGUGUCGCAAAAGGUUCACAAACAAACUGAGGCCGGUAGAGUAUUAAAAUUAAGACUCCAAGCAAAGGAAAUCAAUAAACCGAGGGAGGGUCAGGGGAUUAGUGAAGGGCCACUGACACAGUCUCUGGGAGGAAACCCUUGAACAAUUAGGGAAAUGAGGGUGAAAUUGCAAAAAGGAACAAAGAAGUAGCUCAAACUGGAGUCUUGCUAAAAUUAAGUUCCCCUGACAGAGAGUUCUGCUUUCACAGGACCACUCAUGAGUGGAGUUUGCAUAAUUUUAGCCAGGAGUUGCCACUUACCCUGACAUGAGAAUAAACUGUAUGCACUUCUUAUACACACAAAACUGCUAACCUCCCUCUGGGAGUUGUUUUGGUAAUAAAAAAUAAUGACUUAAAGCUCAUCUGGGAACUUUUUUAACACUUAAAAAAGAAACAGAAAUUUAUGUUAAUGCCUUUUGAUGACACACAGAGGCAAACAUGACCAUCGGGAACAAACUUUAUGCAUUUUAAACUGGAAUUUUCAACACCUAAAACCAGUGAGAGGGGAUAGGUGUAAGUGAAGCUUCUAAAUAGAUAGUCGUGUUUUAACAUUUCUAAUAUUAAUUAUUCACAAAAAGUGAUGAAUUUGACCGGCAAAAAUUAGUAGGAUUAAGUUUUGGUAACACUUUACAAUAACCAUAAUUUAUAAAUGGUAAAUAGAUAGUUUAUUAAUGUUUAAUCAUCAUUUAAAAUCAGCAUAUAGACCAAUUAUAAAUGGCAAAUAAAUAUGUUAUUCAUCUAAGUUAAUAUUUUCUUGAUCAUUAACAAGCAUUAAAAUUAUGAUUAAUAAUUUUCACUAAUUGUUAAUGCAAUAUUGAUUAAAGGUUUAUAUAGGGUUUAAAUAUUAGUUGUAAAACAUCUAGAUUAACACGUGUGUCAGUAGCACUUUAUAAAUGGUGAAUAUUUGGUUUUUAAACCAUCUACAAACAUUACUUAGAUGGUUAUUUUAAAGUUGCAACUGAUCUUUGUAAUACUUUGUAAAUGAUUAACAAGUGGUUUAUGAACCACCAUUAAACUUUACUUAGAUGGUUAUUGUAAAGUUAGGGUUAGGGUUAGGUUUAGGUUUUUAAAAUUGUAAAAUUUACAAUUUAUUAAUGGUCUAUGUCCUAUUUAUAAAUGAUGAUUAAACAUGAAUAAACUAUCUGCUUACCAUUUAUAAAUGGUCUAUUUACCAUUUAUAAGUCAGGGUUAUUGUAAAGUGUUACCUAAGUUUUUGUUAAAUGAUACUCCUGUAGCCAACAGGGGGCGCCAAAACUAACAUAAACCAAAAUGUCCUUAUUGGAGCUUUAAGAAUGGUUGAUCUGUAUGUCGCAUAGAAAGGUAGUAAAAGUAGACAUUUCAGCUUGAUUUAGGAACAGUUUCACAAAUCCCACCAGGAGCUUUAAACUGGUCUUGAUUUUAAUUUUUUGUAAAAAUUCAAUCACCUUAAAAAAUGUUUAAUGUUAUAAAAAAACACACGUUUUUAUAAGUGUCUUAUGAGGAAUCUGUGUCAGGGUCUUUAUCUGUUAUCUAUCGCCCUUAGAGAGAUGAACCACAAUACCCAAUUUUGACGAACUGCCAGGGAAGAUCUCAGUGUGUGAGUCUCUUUACUAACACACCAACACAUUCUGCAAAAUAGAGACUUUGGCCCCAAUCAGAGUCCCCUAGUUUUGUGAGCGCUGUCCCAAUUCUGACAAAAUGAGGUGGAUAUUUAAUUUCUCUUUUGAAUUGGUCAGUCCAGAGUGCGUAUCAAAUACAGCUGCGCCCGAAGCAGAUAGGGCAACAACUUCUUUAUUCAGACCGUAAAUGAAUUUCAGGCCCAUGUGGCCCCAGCGUGCAGCAGUCGACACUGAAUGCGAAGGCCUCUUUUCAGCCGCUAAUUGAAAGGCUCAAAUGCUAUUCUCAGUCAUUUCACUGCACUUGAAGUCACACAAAGCCUUGUUAUAACAUAAUUAAUACACAUUGGAGGCAUCAUUAGGAGUUUAAUUUCAUCCAUCUGCCUGCUGGUGAUUGCAUAGAGCAGCCCUUGGAAUAAUGAACAUUUUGGGUGAAUGAGAUACAUAAUACUUUGAUAAUAUUGUCCCCCCAUUUUCACUUAUUAGCAUAUCGCACAAUGCCGUAAAACACAUUGCGAGAUAAAGCCCAAGUGAAGUUUGGAGUCCUCCUCAAAAUGAUAUCAAGUGCUAAAGGGUGGGAUACAAAGAGGACACACACAAACACAACCUUCAACAAACCGCCGAUCCCCCCCGAAACAAGUGGCAGUAAUAGGACAGGAUACGAGGAUUACUGGGACAAUCUUGAAGGGUUUUUAUUUUAAAACGGCACUCAUGGGGCCGGCCAGCUGAGAGUUAGGCAGGGAUUACAGGAGUCCACUGGAUUUGUCCAAAAAGGAUUACCCACUUAGGGGGUUACACUGACACUGUUGACAAUUGUUUGGGAUUCCUCCUCUGUUUGUUCUUCAGUGUUUUAAAGCUAAACCAGAAUUACUGGCAAUUUCCACUGCAACCGGAACAGUUACGAAAAGGCCGUAUUCGCCAAUUGUAACUGAUCGUAACCAUUCAAGUUAAUGUGUCAAUUUCUACUGGCUUCUUUCCGUUUCGCUGCAGAUCGCUGGACUUCUCAGCUGAUCGUAAGAGUUCUAUUUUUUCCGAAUGCCAGAGCACGCCGCAUAAAUUCAGCACAGAUUAGGGUCCUUAUGAAAUAUUCGGAGGCAAAUUUUUACGCGAUUGACUAUCCACAUCAAGCCCAAUGCAAAUUUGGGACUAUCCGUGGGGGGAAAGACGCAUCCCGGGGAAGACUUUUCCCGGGGAAAGUCCCGCCUCCUUCGCUUCUGAUUGGCUAGAAAAGCUGGAAAUGUCAUCACAUGCUCAAGCCAAACAGUCAGCACUUAAAGCCAAUCAGAGGCGAUAAGAUAAGCACAUGAAACUAUGGUAACAACCGUUUGCUUACACUAGCACAGAUGAAAGUUAAAACAAAGACGUUUAGCAAACUGUUAAAGCUCACAAACCAUCGUCAUAUGAGAAAUCCGACACUAUGACUCUCCACAAGUUCUCCUUCAGGUCGUUAUCUUUGUAAUAUUUGUGUCUUUUAUCAAAAAGCACUCUGUUCUCCAACACGUAAACAAUCAGCCGGUCGGCCAUGUUGGAUAUA